CACGUAGGGUGCGAGCGUGUCCGGAAUUAUUGGGCGUAAAGAGCUCGUAGGCGGUGUGUCGCGUCGGCCGUGAAAACCUGCAGCUUAACUGUGGGCUUGCGGUCGAUACGGGCAUCACUGGAGUUCGGCAGGGGAGACUGGAAUUCCUGGUGUAGCGGUGAAAUGCGCAGAUAUCAGGAGGAACACCGGUGGCGAAGGCGGGUCUCUGGGCCGAUACUGACGCUGGAGGAG
rnacentral:rRNA from 1 species